GGAUUGUAGUCUGCAACCCGACUACAUGAAGCUGGAAUCGCUAGUAAUCGUGGAUCAGAAUGCCGCGGUGAAUACGUUCCCGGGUCUUGUACACACCGCCCGUCACACCAUGGGAGCCGGUAACGCCCGAAGUCAGUGACCCAACCGAGAGGAGGGAGCUGCCGAAGGUAGGAUUGGCGACUGGGGUGAAGUCGUAACAAGGUAGC
rnacentral:rRNA from 1 species